CUUUGGGCCAGAUGGCAUUGCUGAGGCAUGAGCCAUAGCCGCUAAGUGGCUACUGAGGGGCUGGGGAGGAACCGGCUGGAAUGGCUUUCCUUGGAGAGCUUAAAAUGGCAGGUGGCUCUGCACGCACUCGCUUGUUAAAUCCUACAGAAACAGGCUCUGCCUGGCCGACAUAGGCCUGCUUUGGGUGAGCUCCAGAAAUGCCAUGAUGAUCGUGUUAUUUUCUUUCGGUUUUGUGGCAUUUCUACUUUUGGUCCUUGGAAAAACAGCAGGAGCGUUGCCCAACAAAUGGAGCGCAGGGAGAAAAAAUAGGCUGAGGUAAGAUGCUGCGGCUUUGCCAGGAAGUGCCAGCGUGGUCACGAGAGGCUUUGCUUCACAUGUGACUGUCAAGUGCUUUAGAGAGCCGCUUGAGAAGCCCAGGAGAUGUUGGCAUUUGAUGUGCAAUGCGUUUGGGCUGCUUGGCCACCUGUAGAUCACUUGUAAGGCAAGCUCUGAGCAGGUAGCCUUGCAUGUAUUUGCAGACCAUGGGGGUUGGCUCCUCCUGCCCAGGUAGCCAGGCUGUCAUUGGCAGGGCUCUGCCUCUCUCUUGGAAGCCUCUCCACGCACUAACUUUUCCUCUGCCUCUCCUGCUUCAGCCGCGCUCACCCGCCUCGGGUCUUUGUGGUGGUGGUGUGUUGAGUUAGCUCUGCCUGCUGGUAACCCUUCUUUUAACAAACCUCAGGGUGAACAAGGACAAGCAGGAAUCCAAGGUCCUCCAGGGCCACCUGGCCCACCAGGACCUGCUGGACCAGCUGGACCAGAGGGAACCCCAGGACAGCCCGGACCAAUUGGGCCACCUGGCAGAGAUGGAGAACCUGGGAAGCCUGGCAGAGAUGGAAAGGUGGGUGCCAGAAACCAGCUCUGCCCCCAUCACUUUGCAUAGCAUUGUCUACAUUUGCCAACUCCAGUAUCUAUUUUGUUUUUAUUUACAGGGCUUACCUGGGCCUCCUGGACCAAAGGGAGACCCUGGGAUUCAAGGAUACCCUGGCAGAAAGGUAAGAGGGGGCAGUUCCAAUACUGCUAAAUGAAUUAAGCUGCGCUGAUGCCUUGUGGGAUGACAGCUGCAAAUCCCUGGACUCCUAUGGAGCUCCUUGCUGGUUUCCUUUCACUGGAUCAAGGGCUGUUGCGAGUCCACGGAUCCCCUAAUGCUCACCUGUGUAAGGAAAGUUGGGACCCAGAGAUGUCUUUAACUCUCAGGCAGCAAUGGUACAGAUUUCUCCCUACUCAUACCCACUUCCACAUUUAGAUCUAGCUCUUAUACUACUAGAAAGGGUCAAAUCCUGGCUAUAUAUGACUUAAAAGUUUAUCCUUUCCCUGGUUAAAAGGCAGAAGCUGGCAUUGCCUGCAGGUCUGCAACAGCAGCUAAUUAGCAGCAGGGUUGAGUCAAGUCUGGAAGGUGUAAUGAAGAGACAGGGAGACCAGGGAAAGCGCAAAGGAAGAUCAAAGGGGAAGAGGGAAUGGUGAGGUACUGCUAAAGGGAUGUUAGUGGGAGAAGGGGAAGGCAAAUGCUCCCAGCAGGCAGGAGUCCCAUGUCCCAUGUUAUCUCUGCACUGCUUUAUGGCUGCUCUGUGGGCUAAAAGGCAAGACCUGAGAGCUUUUUAAUUAGUUCUGUAUAAGCCAAGACGGUUUUGUUAUGUUAGGAAGUGGAAAUUAUAGCCCCCGUGGACCACAGCCCACUCCUGCAGACAGACACAAUUUAUUGCUGCCUCUUGCAGUGAACCAUCCAUCGGUUUUUCCAUUCAGAGCCCAUCCUGUUCUGAGUGUGCUGGCGGGUGGCUCUCAG
ensembl:lncRNA